AUGUACCAGUCGUACACUCCGGUUCCUGCGCGCCGUCCGCACCUACCUGACGACUGCUCGCUAGGUUUUGUUAGCC
rnacentral:sRNA from 1 species